AAGAUACUAGUAAAGUAUUACACUGCCUUGUCAAGACAGAAUCGUGGGUUAAACCCCCGC
rnacentral:tRNA from 1 species